rnacentral:tRNA from 1 species
GCAAGCGUCGUACAAUGGCCAGUACAUCAGCCUUCCACGCUGAGAACGGGGGUUCGGCUCCCCUCGCUUGCUCCA